AAAUCUUUGAUGUGUCAUCAAGGAUAACGUAAAGGAAAAUAAUGAUAUUACUUUACUAAUAGUGUCGUCCAAAUACUCGUGCCAGAAGACUCGGUAAGGCGAGAGACGCAAACGUUAUUCGUCUUGAUCAGGCGUAAAGGGUUUGUAGGCUGCUUUAAGAAUCCAACCUAAAUUUUAGGAUAAUUAUUUUUAAUAAUUAGGAUCAUUUAAAGCUAGAAUCUAAAGGAGGUUAAAACAAUACUUAAGGUAGGAGUACUAACCGUAGAUAUUAAGUAGAGUUCUAAUGGCGAAGGCAUUUAUCCAAUAAAGAUUGACGCUGAGAAACGAAGGUGAGGGCAGAAAAAAGGAUUAGAGACCCUUGUAUUCCUCACUGUCAACGAUGAAUGGUAGUUACUAGUUAGAAAUAAGCUAGAGGCGAUGUUAACACGAAAACCAUUCCGCCUUGUGAGUACGACUGCAAAGUUGAAAACAAAAAAAUUA
rnacentral:rRNA from 1 species